rnacentral:rRNA from 1 species
UACGGGGGGGGCAAGCGUUGUUCGGAAUUACUGGGCGUAAAGGGCGCGUAGGCGGCCUACUAAGUCGGACGUGAAAUCCCUCGGCUCAACCGAGGAACUGCGUCCGAUACUGGCAGGCUGGAAUCCGGGAGAGGGAUGUGGAACUCCGAGUGUAGAGGUGAAAUUCGUAGAUAUUCGGAAGAACACCAGUGGCGAAGGCGGCUCACUGGCCCGGUACUGACGCUGAGGUGCGAAAGCGUGGGGAGCAAACAGG